AUCCAACUGACAAGUCUCAAAUAAGACGAAACGCGCGUCCUAAAU
rnacentral:hammerhead_ribozyme from 1 species